rnacentral:rRNA from 1 species
AUUGAACGCUGGCGGCAUGCUUUACACAUGCAAGUCGAACGGCAGCGCGGGCUUCGGCCUGGCAGCGAGUGGCGAACGGGUGAGUAAUGCAUCGGAACGUGCCCAGUAGUGGGGGAUAGCCCGGCGAAAGCCGGAUUAAUACCGCAUACGACCUGAGGGUGAAAGCGGGGGACCGAAAGGCCUCGCGCUAUUGGAGCGGCCGAUGUCGGAUUAGCUAGUUGGUGGGGUAAAGGCUUACCAAGGCGACGAUCCGUAGCUGGUCUGAGAGGACGACCAGUCACCGGGGAAUGGCAACGCGCCCAGACCCACCGGGGGAGGCGCCGGGGGGGAUUUGGGAAAAAGGGGGCCAACCUGGAACCCGCCUUCCGGGGGGGGGAAAGAGGCCGGGCGGUUUGAAAGCGGUUUUUGUGGGGAAAAAACCCCUCGGGCCAAAUACCGGGGGGGGAUGCGGGGACGGAAAAAAAAAACACCGCCAAACUACGCC